UCCCAGAUAGCUCAGUUGGUAAAGAAUCUGCCUGCAGUGCAGGAGACCCUGUUUUGAUUCCUGGGUUGGGAA
rnacentral:tRNA from 1 species